AUAAUGGGUCAGCGACUUAUAUUCUGUAGCAAGGUUAACCGAAUAGGGGAGCCGAAGGGAAACCGAGUCUUAACUGGGCGUUAAGUUGCAGGGUAUAGACCCGAAACCCGGUGAUCUAGCCAUGGGCAGGUUGAAGGUUGGGUAACACUAACUGGAGGACCGAACCGACUAAUGUUGAAAAAUUAGCGGAUGACUUGUGGCUGGGGGUGAAAGGCCAAUCAAACCGGGAGAUAGCUGGUUCUCCCCGAAAGCUAUUUAGGUAGCGCCUCGUGAAUUCAUCUCCGGGGGUAGAGCACUGUUUCGGCAAGGGGGUCAUCCCGACUUACCAACCCGAUGCAAACUGCGAAUACCGGAGAAUGUUAUCACGGGAGACACACGGCGGGUGCUAACGUCCGUCGUGAAGAGGGAAACAACCCAGACCGCCAGCUAAGGUCCCAAAGUCAUGGUUAAGUGGGAAACGAUGUGGGAAGGCCCAGACAGCCAGGAUGUUGGCUUAGAAGCAGCCAUCAUUUAAAGAAAGCGUAAUAGCUCACUGGUCGAGUCGGCCUGCGCGGAAGAUGUAACGGGGCUAAACCAUGCACCGAAGCUGCGGCAGCGACGCUUAUGCGUUGUUGGGUAGGGGAGCGUUCUGUAAGCCUGUGAAGGUGUACUGUGAGGUAUGCUGGAGGUAUCAGAAGUGCGAAUGCUGACAUAAGUAACGAUAAAGCGGGUGAAAAGCCCGCUCGCCGGAAGACCAAGGGUUCCUGUCCAACGUUAAUCGGGGCAGGGUGAGUCGACCCCUAAGGCGAGGCCGAAAGGCGUAGUCGAUGGGAAACAGGUUAAUAUUCCUGUACUUGGUGUUACUGCGAAGGGGGGACGGAGAAGGCUAUGUUGGCCGGGCGACGGUUGUCCCGGUUUAAGCGUGUAGGCUGGUUUUCCAGGCAAAUCCGGAAAAUCAAGGCUGAGGCGUGAUGACGAGGCACUACGGUGCUGAAGCAACAAAUGCCCUGCUUCCAGGAAAAGCCUCUAAGCAUCAGGUAACAUCAAAUCGUACCCCAAACCGACACAGGUGGUCAGGUAGAGAAUACCAAGGCGCUUGAGAGAACUCGGGUGAAGGAACUAGGCAAAAUGGUGCCGUAACUUCGGGAGAAGGCACGCUGAUAUGUAGGUGAAGCGACUUGCUCGUGGAGCUGAAAUCAGUCGAAGAUACCAGCUGGCUGCAACUGUUUAUUAAAAACACAGCACUGUGCAAACACGAAAGUGGACGUAUACGGUGUGACGCCUGCCCGGUGCCGGAAGGUUAAUUGAUGGGGUCAGCGCAAGCGAAGCUCUUGAUCGAAGCCCCGGUAAACGGCGGCCGUAACUAUAACGGUCCUAAGGUAGCGAAAUUCCUUGUCGGGUAAGUUCCGACCUGCACGAAUGGCGUAAUGAUGGCCAGGCUGUCUCCACCCGAGACUCAGUGAAAUUGAACUCGCUGUGAAGAUGCAGUGUACCCGCGGCAAGACGGAAAGACCCCGUGAACCUUUACUAUAGCUUGACACUGAACAUUGAGCCUUGAUGUGUAGGAUAGGUGGGAGGCUUUGAAGUGUGGACGCCAGUCUGCAUGGAGCCGACCUUGAAAUACCACCCUUUAAUGUUUGAUGUUCUAACGUUGACCCGUAAUCCGGGUUGCGGACAGUGUCUGGUGGGUAGUUUGACUGGGGCGGUCUCCUCCUAAAGAGUAACGGAGGAGCACGAAGGUUGGCUAAUCCUGGUCGGACAUCAGGAGGUUAGUGCAAUGGCAUAAGCCAGCUUGACUGCGAGCGUGACGGCGCGAGCAGGUGCGAAAGCAGGUCAUAGUGAUCCGGUGGUUCUGAAUGGAAGGGCCAUCGCUCAACGGAUAAAAGGUACUCCGGGGAUAACAGGCUGAUACCGCCCAAGAGUUCAUAUCGACGGCGGUGUUUGGCACCUCGAUGUCGGCUCAUCACAUCCUGGGGCUGAAGUAGGUCCCAAGGGUAUGGCUGUUCGCCAUUUAAAGUGGUACGCGAGCUGGGUUUAGAACGUCGUGAGACAGUUCGGUCCCUAUCUGCCGUGGGCGCUGGAGAACUGAGGGGGGCUGCUCCUAGUACGAGAGGACCGGAGUGGACGCAUCACUGGUGUUCGGGUUGUCAUGCCAAUGGCACUGCCCGGUAGCUAAAUGCGGAAGAGAUAAGUGCUGAAAGCAUCUAAGCACGAAACUUGCCCCGAGAUGAGUUCUCCCUGACUCCUUGAGAGUCCUGAAGGAACGUUGAAGACGACGACGUUGAUAGGCCGGGUGUGUAAGCGCAGCGAUGCGUUGAGCUAACCGGUACUAAUGAACCGUGAGG
rnacentral:rRNA from 1 species